rnacentral:rRNA from 1 species
GAUGAACGCUGGCGGCGUGCCUAAUACAUGCAAGUCGAGCGAACAGACGAGGAGCUUGCUCCUCUGACGUUAGCGGCGGACGGGUGAGUAACACGUGGAUAACCUACCUAUAAGACUGGGAUAACUUCGGGAAACCGGAGCUAAUACCGGAUAAUAUAUUGAACCGCAUGGUUCAAUAGUGAAAGACGGUUUUGCUGUCACUUAUAGAUGGAUCCGCGCCGCAUUAGCUAGUUGGUAAGGUAACGGCUUACCAAGGCAACGAUGCGUAGCCGACCUGAGAGGGUGAUCGGCCACACUGGAACUGAGACACGGUCCAGACUCCUACGGGAGGCAGCAGCAGGGAAUAUUCCGCAAUGGGCGAAAGCCUGACGGAGCAACGCCGCGUGAGUGAUGAAGGUCUUCGGAUCGUAAAACUCUGUUAUUAGGGAAGAACAAAUGUGUAAGUAACUAUGCACGUCUUGACGGUACCUAAUCAGAAAGCCACGGCUAACUACGUG